rnacentral:lncRNA from 1 species
AUCCUCUAUGGUGUCUUGAUCACCAAAACUAUAAUUCUAUUUAUACCUUUGUCUUGAUCUUCAUAGGAUUUUAUUUUUCUCUUUCUUUCUUUUUAAGUUGAGCACUUGAUCACCUUCUUAUUAUCACCACCAUCACUAUGAUCCUCUAGGCUCCAACACUUGGCAUACGACUUAUUAUUUCAUAUAUAUCUAUACACUUAGCAUAAUGAUUAGUCCCUAUGUUCCAUCAAUUAUCAAAAUCAAACUAGGGCUUUCAGCCCCCUCCUGCACCCCAAAAAAGUAAUAAUUGGCUCCCAUAUUUCAAUGGGUCUGUUGCAUUGAUCACAGGAUCGGAUGGUCCGUUGGCAUGGAGCUCGAUCUCAUAUUUACUAAUAAGAGCCUGGCAAGCUAGAUUGUUAUUAAUAACAACAUAAUCGAUUUAUAGGGUGUUUGGUCUGCAAAAUAAAGAGACUCGCCAUCAUCUCAUUCUCUAAUUUUUUUAUUUAGGUGACGUUUGGCACAACUUUGCUUCACUAAUGAACUUAUCUUUUUUUUUUUUUUGCUUUAGCUCUCUAUGAGCAGCCGUGUACAAGUGAAGUUGAAGCUAUUUUAGUGAAACGUUUAGCAAAAUGCUUUAGCUCUCUAUGAGCAGUCGUAUGUAAGUGAAGUUGAAGCUAUUUUAGUGAAACGUUUAGCAAAAUAAUUAUACACGUGCAACAACUUAAAAUACGUUUUUACAAAAUCCGGACCACCAGAGUGUGUGUGGGAGAACCUACUGUUUUAGCCUCAUCUCCAUCCAACCAUUGUGAAGGCACGUUUAGCCCUUGUUUAGUUGAGAAGGUGUAAAAAAAAAAUUGAUACUGUAGCACUUUCGUUUUUAUUUGGCAAUUAUUAUCUAAUCAUAGACUAACUAGGCUCAAAAGAUUCGUCUCACAAAUUACAGACAAACUGUGUAAUUAGUUAUCUUUUUUAUUUAUAUUUAAUAUUCCACGCAUGUGUCGCAAGAUUUAAUAUGAGGGGAAAUCUUGAAUUUUUUUAGGUUUUUGGGAUGAACUAAACAAGGCCUU